AAACUUUCAACAACGGAUCUCUUGGUUCCGGCAUCGAUGAAGAACGCAGCGAAAUGCGAUAACUAAUGUGAAUUGCAGAAUUCAGUGAAUCAUCGAGUCUUUGAAAGCACAUUGCGCCCCUUGGUAUUCCGGGGUGCAUGCCUGUCCGAGCGUCAUU
rnacentral:rRNA from 1 species